rnacentral:rRNA from 1 species
AGCAGCCGCGGUAAUUCCAGCUCCAAUAGCGUAUAUUAAAGUUGUUGCAGUUAAAAAGCUCGUAGUUGAAUUUCGGGGUCAGUAGGCUGGUCGUGCCACAGGUACGUACUGGUCUCACUGAUUCCUCCUUCCUGAUGAACCGUAAUGCCAUUAAUUUGGUGUUGCGGGGAAACUGGACUGUUACUUUAGAAAAAAUUAGAGUAGUUUAAAGCAGGCUAACGCUUGAAUACAUUAGCAUGGAAUAAUGAAAUAGGACGUUCGAUCCUAUUUUGUUGGUUUCUAGGAUUGACGUAAUGAUUAAUAGGGAUAGUUGGGGGCAUUAGUAUUCAAUUGUCAGAGGUGAAAUUCUUGGAUUUAUUGAAGACUAACUACUGCGAAAGCAUUUGCCAAGGAUGUUUUCAUUAAUCAAGAACGAAAGUUAGGGGAUCGAAGACGAGUCGGAUACCGUCGUAGUCUUAACCAUAAACUAUGCCGACUAGGGAUCGGAUGAUGUUAAUUUUUAAUGACUCAUUCGGCGCCG